rnacentral:rRNA from 1 species
AUUGAACGCUGGCGGCAGGCUUAACACAUGCAAGUCGAACGAGUGGCGGACGGGUGAGUAAUGCGUGGGAAUCUGGCUUAUGGAGGGGGAUAAACACGGGAAACUGUCGCUAAAACCGCGAACCCUAUGAUGAGCCCAAGUGGGAUUGGGUAGUGGGUGGGGGAAUGGCCAACCAAGCCGACGAUCGCUAGCUGGUCUGAGAGGAUGACCGGCCACACCGGAACUGGGCCACGGCCCGGCCUCCGACGGGAGGCAGCAGUGGGGAAUAUUGCGCAAUGGGGGCAACCUGACGCAGCCAUGCCGCGUGAAUGAAGAAGGCCUUCGGGUUGUAAAGUUCUUUCGGUGACGAGGCGUUACUCACAGAAGAAGCACCGGCUAACUCCGUGCCAGCAGCCGCGGUAAUUC